rnacentral:lncRNA from 1 species
AUGAAUCAUUCAACUCUCCAGCUGUUAAGAGUUUUGAAUGCAUUAAAGAGGACACAGACAUCAAAAACAGGCCCUCAGCGGUCUGCUUCUCUGGAGAAGGCCUCCCUGAGGGCCUGGAGCUCGCCUCCUCCUGCUGUGCUCUCUAAGGAAACUGAAACUGGAGAUCAAAGGAUGAUGCGCUAUUCAAAAAAGUAACAGAACUCCAGACUGUAAGAAAAUGUUCUACAGCAAAAGAUUGAUGAGUAGAUACAGAAAGAAAUGAUGGAUGCCAACGUAAAUUAUUUGGGUAUACAAGUAUAACUUCUUAUCUUUCCUCAUUUUAUUUUUAUUUUUUCUCUUUUAUUAACCAGCUAACUACCAGUCCAGAUCGUGUCUGAUUAGAGAGAUUUUGUCAUGUUGAGGUCAGGGCCAGGCUAAAGUUUCUUUUGUUCUCUGAGUACAGUAUGAACAGGAUGUACUAUAGUCAUGAAUAGUGCGAAUAAGAUCCUGAAAAACAUUUUUCUAACCAGGACUUUUGGGCAUAAAUAUUUAUAACAAAGCUAAUUACAUAUUAUAGGGUAGUAGUAUCAUUUUCUAGGUUUGAAACCCUGUCUUCUGUUUUUAUCAAUUACUCCAUGAUUUCAAGACAUGGUUUCUACCACUGAGACAUUAUAAUAAUAAGACCAGCUCCCUGGGUUAAGAGGAUUAACUGUUAAUAUACAUAAAGCACAGUACCUGGCAUACGGUAGAAACUGAAAAUAUGAUACUUAUUUUCAGAUACUUAUUUUACUCCUUAAAGUAGGUUUCGAGUGCUUCUGUUUUCCAAUUGAUUUUUCAUAUAUUGAUGGGCUCUGGAAAUUGUCGGAUGAAAAAGAUUGAACUUUGUGCACCUUUUGGGAGUAGCUAAGGCAAAUUCGAGAGAACAAUAGGAUGGCUGGGACCCCGUAAUUAGAUUAUAUGGUGGCCAGAGGUCAAAACCGAGCAGCAAGCAGAACCUUCAGUUAAGGGUCAGUGAUCAAGCACAGGCAGAGGUCAGUCUUUGCCGGGAGCGCCCAAGCACUGUCGCCAGAGGCAAUAAGCUCCGCAGCAUGGUUACUGCAGGCACGUCCACUGCUGCUCUUCGCUCACUCUCCACACGACAAGGCCUUUUCAAGCCUAAAUCAGAUAUGUCACUCCUGUGCGCAAAACCGUACAGAGUCUUCUCAUUUCAGAGUAAAAGC